CUCUUUCAUGCAUGCAACAACACGUAACGGUUUAAUUAUGAAUCUACUCUCAUUCAUGAAUGACUUAAUUAAUAAUCCAGAUAUUUUAACGCACCGGCAAUCAAGAACAUACGUUUGAUCCAAUUACGGUGUCGUUAGACACGGCUUAUGAACACACAUUAAAACGGUUUGAUCCGUACAUGUUCAUAAACGCAUGAAGGUAAAUAAUUUUUUUUUUUUUUUUUAGUUUACAAGAAAAAAAGAAAUUUUUUUUUUUUUACAAACUUCAUGCACGCACUUGGUUUGUUUCGUAACUUCCGUUAACAUUUAACACAGACCAAAUUUCCAGAUGAAUUAAUCUAAUCUACAUAGGCUCUGAUACCAUAUGUUAAUCUAUUUCAAGACCAAGACCUAAUUUAGAUUUGACUUAAUUCAAUCCUAACAUGAUUCUAAAGAAGGUAGGAACACUAACCUUGAUUCAUGCUUGGAUGUAAUCCCACUAAUUGAUGUUCUUCUCUUUAACCUUCUUUCUUUGGUGGUUUCUUUGAUGGACAAGAAACCCCAAACCUUCAUUUAAUCUCUCCUUCAAUAAUCAGUACGUAUUUUUCUUGUGUAUCUUUUUAGAAAGACUCUCGUCUUACGUGAAGAAGAAAAUAAUGAACGAGUGUUGUGUUUUAUAUUAGUCAAAGAGACAUGAGUCUUAACCAACACAACUCUCUAAGACUUCAUCACAACCAUUCGUUAUAUUAACGGUACCACAACGUAUGUAUACUAAUAUAUAUAUUAAUAAUGGUAAUGUAUUCCAUUAUUAUUACCUUUAACAUAUAUAUAUAUGAUUAUGAGAUUAAAGACAUAUUUAAACAUAAGGUAAAGUAGGACGGUUAUCAAUAAACCCGGAUUCUAAUUCUUAAUCGAAACCGAUCCAUCACGGUAUCGUCUUUUAUAUUAGAAUCUAAAACAAUAAUAUGAAAUUGAACUUUAUAUUAAACUAAUAGAUACAUAGGUCAUAUAGAAUAUAAAAUAUUUUUACAGAGGGUUGAUACGGCUUGUUGUGGAGCAGAGAUCUGGAGCUUCCCUUCAUGAUUUAUGAGCUUUUCAUGAAUUUCAGUGAUUGAGGGUGGUGUGUCUCUGCUCUCCGUUUGAUCAACGACCGACUUGUAAUCCUCCGGAAGACCUUGAAGAACAUAAUCAAGUUGAUCUUCAUGAUCAAUGACUUUCCCAAGUAGAGCCAGUUGGUCAAAUCGGGUGAUUAGGCCUUGAACAUACUCGUCGAUAGAUCGAGUCUCUUUGGUCCAGGCUUUGAGUUGAUUAAGGAGCUGUUUAACAUGGCCUCUGCUAGGUCUACCAUACGUGGAAGCCAAGGUAUCUCAGAUCUCGGCGGCUGUUGAAGCACGAGAGAGAAGUGGUUGGAUGGUGAUAGAGAUAGCUCCAAGAAGAGCGCUGUAGAGGAGCUUGUCCUGACGUUUCCAGAUGGUGUAGGCCGGGUUCGUGGUGACGCUAUCCGCAACCGUAACAGUUUGUGGUGGUGCGGGUGAUGAACCAUUGAGAAACGGCUCAUCACCCGCACCACCACAAACUUGGUGCUGUGUUUAUUAGAUCCUUGGGAGCAUGUGGUGGGUAUUGGACUUGGUGCUGUGUUCGCGAACCAGCUUGUGAAAUGGGAUGUGAAGCUUAAGGAAGAUCUCGAGGUCAUGCUCAAUAAGGCUAGAGCUGCCAACGAGCGCCGUUACUUCGAUGAAGAUCGGGAUUAAUUAUUGAGCGAUCUUUUGAAUUCUUCAGAAAGGAAGUAUAUUCCCUCUGAAGUUAUAUCAAGUGCUUGUUUUGUUUGUGAUCUUUUCUUCUCCUUUUUUUCUCUUUUGCUUCCGCAUUAAGCUCUUUCAUUCAGUGUUUUUGGUUAAUAAACCUAAAAAGAUUUGUGGUUUCACAAUCUGUAUCAAUUAAAACUGUUUGUACCUGGCUAAUAAUUUCGAAUGAGAAGCCUUAAUUUUCUUAA